CUCUGCAGAAGGAAACUUCUCUGUGUUGCUCACUGGAUCUUGCUGCAAAAGGAACAAAAUGCUGGUUUAUUUUCCUAAUUGAGUACUUCCCUUGUGUCUGUCUCUAGCCCUGAUGUGUCCUGUGUUCGCCUGCUCUCCCAGACAAGCUGUACCUACCUUGGGGGGCUUUGGGGCAAAGUCUUUCUCGCAGAUGUGUUGUAUGAUGCCAGCAGCCAGAGCAUCUCCGAGGACGUUGGUCAUAGUUCGGAAUCGGUCCCUAGAAGAGAGAAAGCUGUGAGGCUGCAGUUGGUGGCCACAGCCAGAGUGGCCAUGGUCUUUUAUGGCUUUGGAAGGUGAACCCCCAUCCCUGACACCUCUACCAUUAUUCUUGAUAAGAACUAGCUAAGACAAAUGGGGUAUUGCCCUUGGCCCUGUGCAAAUACAGCAAGAAAUCGGUACUAGCAUCUCACCACACUCAUCUCUAGCGUGUAGGGGUGGCUGCGCUGCUACCAAAACUGGUGCAUCGUGCAUUUUCCUUCAAAAUCUGCAUGAGCCCCCUGAGCCACAAAACUAUUUAAGGUGACACUUGGGGAUGAAAUUGUGUUUGUCCAGCCCUAAGGUGAGUUCUUGUCAUGUCAGUAGGAAGUGCCGGCAGCGUUACUGUAGGUGAUACUACUGGUGCCCUGUGAUGCUCAAAGAUGUAGCUGACAUUUUGUUCUGAUGUAACAACUUCCACCUGAAAAGUUAAACUUCUUGUGAGUGUAAGAAUGAGAAAAGCAGCCGUGAUACUUGUGCUGUUCCCUCUCUACAGGAUGGCUGUGAAGACCAAACCAGCAGCCCAUGCAUCAGUUCCUUAAAAGUCAGUAACUACGCUGUAUGUUUUUGUCACCUACCUAACUUGCUUCAUUUUUUCCGUACUACUUUUAAAUGCUACAUUUCGUGAAUGCAUAUGUUAUGCUAAGUGUUAUCAGGCAUCGUAUUUUGUCUCAACAUCAAUCUGGUCUUCAUCCACCAAGGCGAGGACUACCUCCCUGGAAGACAGACCUUGGCGUUGGAUGCAAUCCUUUGAAAAUGUCAUCCUUACUUUUAGAAACUCCAGUGAUGUUUUAGUUCUGGUGACAGAUGGCUUGUAAGAUGUAAGUUGCCUAUUGAAUGCAACUUUUUUUUUUUUUUUUUCCCCCACUAUUAUAUCUAUUCAUGAAGGGGCCCCUGAUUUUCUUCUAUGAUUUAGUGUCACAACCAGCUCAUACUUUACCUUUUUACUGUUCUGUUCUGACAAUCAGUAAGCAUCUCAGAUCACUUUUUUUUUUCCUUUUUACCUUUUAAACAUCUAUCCCAUCCCUCUUAUCUAUCCCUAGUCUAUCUCUCUGUCCUCUCUAUUUCCUAAUUAUGAAAAAUCCCAUGUUUUAGGAAUAAAAAUGGAAACCUGGAUGAGCACAUACUCUGCAAAUAUUUCCAAGUGGCUUAUGGUUUGUAUCAGUUAAUUUUAUCCUAAAGAUCAUGCUUUUGUCCUAAACAAUUUUAUGCUUCCACCCCUUCUGUCUCUAUUGUUGUUAGCACCCUUCUGGCUGGUUUUCAUUUCUCCUCGUAUGAAGCCAGAGACCUUCCUGCAGCCUCGUUCAUCUCGCAGGGAGAUGUUCCACCAAAGCAGUGACCACUGAACCUUCCCACACUUACCUGUCCGACAAACCGCUUUCAGUCUCGUGCUGUCCAUCCUCCUUUGCUCACAGAAUGGACAGCUUGGAGGAGGCUGGGACUUGAGAGCUGCUCCAGGAAACCCAAACACGUCCCCACUAUCAGCUGCCGCUAGCACCAGCCCGCAGCAUCACCUCUGGGAGACUUACAGCGCCCAGUCCACGGCCACGAUGAGCGUGAUGUCGGCGGUCGGCAGCCCCACGGACGUCAGCACGAUGACCAUCGUGACGAGCCCCGACUGGGGGAUCCCAGCCGCCCCUAUGCUCGCUGCUGUCGCUGUUAUGCUGCAGAGAGAGGAAGGCUGCAGAAUUGGUGCCACCAAAAAAGCUGCCUUUUUUUUUUUUUUUUUUCUUUGAAGGAAUGAGGUGUUGCAUAAGUUAUAUAUGUUAAUAAUAAAAAUAAUCACGUCCUCAUUAUAUCAUUCUGUAUGAUAUAGUGACAGGACCUGAAACACUUUGUUGGCCAAGAAAGAUCACUUCCAGUUAUUCUGAGAUCUCACUGUAAGGAAUUCUGCUUCUCAGGCUCCCAUUGCAGUCACCUGCACACUUGUACAAUUUGCUUGCCUGUCCUGACCCCCUGUGCCAGUGUUUCCUUCUAGCUCUGUGCUGGAAUGGACCAGGGCGAGCUCCGAAAGGUGAGGACAGGCUCCAGCACGGGGGCCACUUGGUUCCUGGGGGCAGCCCCAUCCUGGGGGGUUGCAGCUGCAAUGCUUCACCUCCUGCCCUGCUACUGUCCAGGGCCCCGGCUGUGGGCACGCACCUUGUGCUGAAAGCAGCCCUCUGCCUUCCAGCGUAGGCAGCCCCUCCCUGGAAUGGCUUCAUAUGUGAAAUUGUACUUAUUUUUAGGUAGAUGCUUUUUUUCCCUUGCUCAUUAAAUGAGGGUAUUCCUGAAGGAGAAUAUAUUACACCAGUGCACCCCUGUGCUGGUACAGCUCGAUGGCAUCACACUGCCCAGGCGUGCUACCCAGCUGGCAGCCCCGCUGUCACCCACUGGCUGCAGCAGCUGGGGUGGUCUCAGCCAAAUCACUGGAUAAGGGGUGAGAUACUGGUCUCAUAUCUAUAAGAACGGAGAACUAAUUUGACUGCUGCAAAUAAACAUUUACCUUAUUGUUAUGAUUUGUCCCAAGUCCAAGUCGUACUCGUUGACCUGAGCGAUAAAGAUAGCAGCGACUGCUUCGUACAGCGCCGUGCCGUCCAUGUUGAUGGUGGCCCCGACCGGCAGGACGAAGCGUGCCACGCGCCUGUCUAUCCCGUUGUUUUCCAGAAGACACUUGAGGGUGAUGGGCAAGGUUGCUGAGCUGCGGGAGAAGAAAUGAUAAAUAAUUGUUUUCCGUGUUGAGCACGCUGCUGUCUGCAGCCUAACGGUAUACAAACAUAAGUCCUCCUGGGGUAAGUGCAGCAGCACUGUUACACGAAUUGCUCUGCAUUUCUUCAUCUGCCUGGGGAAUACACAAUUAGCCAAGGAGUUAGACACUGUCUGUCAUCAGCCUGCAGUACCAACGGAAUAAACUCAAAAAAUCAUUUUGGUGUCUGAAGGCAUCACACUACGGAGAGCUUUGUGCAUGGGUUCUGGCUGUUUGUUGUAAUCCCCGCUCCCCACAUUCAUCCCACAACACCUGGACAUUUGUACGAAGCAGAAGUGCCCACCCCAGCCCCCACGGGGCUCCUUCAGCCCUGGUUCAGCCCCAGUGUGCAGCGGGGAGCAGCUGCACCAGUGUCACCCAGUGCUGCCCAGUGCUGCCCAGUACCACCCCACUGAACUUGUGCUCGUUUCUGUUGAGCACACAGACGUGAGCUGUAUGGUGGGAGUCAGGAUAAGGAUGGGGAGGAAGAGGACAGAAUGAAAGAUGGAAAAUGAACAUGGAAAAGAAGCCGAUGGGACUGCGAUUGACUCUUCAAGGCAGGCGCUGCUUUUCCAAUGUGUGCAGGGUGUAUCACAGAUGCACACAAUCCCUAGAGCGGAUGGCAGGACGAGGACAAAGCUCUCCCACCAGCCCCUACACAACAGCCCCUCAGCUUGCACGCUGGCUGGAGAGCAGCAGCUGCUCGUGGCAGCCCAUCUCUGCAGGGAAAGGUCCCAGCAUGGUGCUGGUGCUGCAGGAAUCCCGUGUCAACCUCGGGGUUUUGCCAGGGCCCUGUGCCUGGCAGGACGGUGGUGGCUACAGGAGAUGCUUCCGAGGGAAACAGGGAUGGGGGCCCCCAUGCUGGACGAGAGAGGGUUGUCUACACCAGUGUGCAGAGACAGGGGUCAGGGCAGGGAGGGACGGUCCUCUGUGGUUUUACUGAGCUCGUGUACAGCAUUGAUGUCAGGGAGGGCAGGAAAACUUCACUUGGCCUAAUGCUUUCUGAGAAAAUGUUCUGGUUUGUGCGUCUUUCAGAAAGGAUGGUAGUUUCUGAUGUACAGCUUCUUCAUUGUUUCAAAGAAUGUUUUGCAAUAAAAAUUAAAGAUAGAAAAAUUA